ensembl:lncRNA
CACUUCCACUUGUUAUAAUAUUGCUAAAAGUUGAAAUUUCAAAACUGGACUUGUUACACAGGUGGUAUCCUAUCCCAGUGCCAGGGUAGAAUUCACUGAGCUCCUGAGAGCGACCCAUUCUUCCACAAAUGUUUGCAGAAGCAGUCUGCAUGCCUAGAUGCUUGAUAUUAUACCCCUGUGGCCAUGAAAGCGAUCGGAAUGCCUUUAUUCAGUGAUUUGAAUAGGUGAGUAGAUAUAAUAUAAUGUAGCUUUAGAAAUGUUAUAGCAUCUAAGAGACAGACAUGUUUCCUUGUAAAAUAUAUGAUACUCUUUUUUUUCUUUUUUCUUUUUUUUAAAGCAACCAAAUAGAAAAACUCAGCAGAACCAAGCACUUCAGGUAACAGGGUUGCUGUCUACUUUGCAACUCUAUUUUAAUGUGGCAAAUGAAUGUUACAUCAGCUACUGUACUUAUGUCCAACUUGCAUGACUGAGUGUUACAUUGUUCACACUCAAUAGUUGUGUGUAAUUCAACAUAAACCCAGGAAAUAUCCCAGGAUAUUUUAACAAAUGCAACUGCAGCAUUUGAAAAGUGGAUUUACUGUCUACUACACACUAGAUCAGUACUUAAUGUGAGGAGAACUGGUCUUGUAAAGUCAGGCUGUCAAGAGUUGGGUUUUUUUGUUUUUUCAGAUAACCGUGCAGGAAAUGCAUCCACAGGACUAAGUCCGAACAACAAUGAAUGCCCAGAAUGUGGGGCUUCCACUCAAAUGACAAAGACAAAUACCUUCAACAACUUUCUUUUCUGUUUUUUUUAUUUUAUUUUUGCCGUUCAUGAUGCUAAUCAGGGACCCAUUGUUCUAAACCUGCCUCAGAAACUUAUAUUUCUUUAGGAACUAGGUUAGUAGUCCAUGCGGAUUUAUUGCAUGUUCAGCUUAAAGCUACGUAAUAAUGGCACUUAUAUUUGACAGCACAAUUUCUUACAUUUUGAGUCAUACGCACAACGCUGGACAUUUUAGUCAUAAGCAACUGAUAAAAUAAAUCCCUACAAUUGCAUUAUUCCUUUGGGAACAAAGCAGUUCUGUACUUUCAAUUUUGAACUACGUAAACCAAAAUACCCCUUAAAUGUCACAACGCUCUCCUUGAUACCCUUCCCAACCCCUGAUACUCCUUCUGCCUUAAUGUACCCCAGCCCUUUAUUCUGCUUUCA